AGAGUCUACGAACCAAUUAAGUCUACAUGUAAGAAUUAUUUAAGAUCAUUUAAACAAUAUCAAUUAUCAGAGAUCCAUUUCAUAAAGCUCUUAUUAACAUUGUACAGUUAUAAAAAUUCGGAAAAAGAAAACGACUGUCAGACACAAAACGUCAAAACCACAUGUUUGGAUAAGGAUAUUAUCAACUUUGAUUAAGAGUUGGGAAUUUUUUAUGAAAUUACUUUUUGCCAUUUAUUAAAGCUAAUUUUGUGCAUAGAAUCUACAAAAGCUCAAUAUACAAAGUGUCAAAUUUAAUCCACCUAUCUUGAUACGUUACUGUGAAAAGAUUAAACAUAUGUCUUGUCAUUGAUUAAGCUUUCUACGUUCUUUAACGUCAAUCUAGUAGUGAGUUUAUUUACGGGAACGGCAAAUACUUCCCUUCACCCAGAGCACUUCGAUCCAGAAGAAAUGUCGUAUUUGUCGUAUUAGUAUAGAAAUAAUUCAUGGGGGCUUGAAAUUAUACUGAUAUUGCCACGGGUUUGCCCUCUUUGCCGAUAUGUUCCCCUUACUAUCGCUCAUGGUAAAAUAUUUAGCAUAAUGGGCCUACCCGUGGUAACAUCGGUAAAAAUGCAAGUCCCUAUGAUUUUUGUCUAUCGCUCUUGAUAAAUUGUAUAUUAUAUGUCAUUGAAUAAGCCUGACGCAUGAAUGUAUUUUUUGAAUAACGCAAAAUAUGUGCUCAAUGACAUUUGCUAUCUAAUAAAAAGUAACUGCAAAAACUCUUAUAAUAAUUCAAACAACUGUGUUAACUUUGUUGUUAUUAUGGACGCCAUCUUGUUUACAUUUGUAACGAAAGAAGUUCGGUCAACAUCGUCUAUCGACAAAUAACCAAUGCAAGAUCAAAUACCGGAAGUCCUCUCUACCAAUCAUAUCAAUGUAUUCCGUAAUAUGCAAAUCCUAUAAUAAUUAUUGUAUGAUAUCAUUCUAGGUACCAGAUUUUUUGGAAAAAGCUUGUAAGCUUAUUAUAACUGGAACUGGAGGCUUGUCUUUCAAGGAAGAGACAUAUAUAUCAUACCGUGCUAGAACUGUAUCUUUGUUUAUCCAAACUGAUAAGGGAAUAUACAAAGCAGGACAAACAAGUACGUACAUACAGUGGUAAUUCAUUUCAUUAUGGGACCCAGUACCUAAAGGUUUGGUUUCGAUUGAAGGAUAAGAAACAUUUUAGGGUUAUAGUUAAGAUUAUAGUUAAAUUUUAGGUCUAGGGCUAGUGGAAAAGUCAAGUGUAGAUUCGUUUUAUCUUGGGACGCUUGUAGACCAUUUGAUCUAAAUAUCUCUAAAACGACUGAACAAUACAUUAAUUAGUCAUUUUCUUUAUCCUGUAAUUGACCAAUUAUUGUAAAAAUACGUGUUACAAAUGUAUACUGAUAAAUAUUUGCUAAACUACACAAAGUUAAUUAUAAUAACUGAUAACUUGACAGUUGAUAAGUCGUUUCAGAUUCUUACGCAUUCUGGGUAAUAUUUUUAAAAGCGUACACCGAAACGUUGUGAUUAGUCAUGGUUUAAAACAUUCUAUCAAUAAACAUUUAACCCAUGACGAAUCGUUAUUUUCAUUUUGGUGUACAAACAAUGAGACUAUCCAUAGUUCUUUAGGUUCUGAACGGUCGAAUUGCCGAAUUCUCAUCAGAAGGUAUUCAGCAAUGACGAUGUCUAUAACAAACUUUAGACCAAAAAUAGAUAAACACAUUAUGCGUCAUUUUGGGAAAAUAUCAGUUACAUUAAUACUCUCUUGCAAAUCCAGUUUUUGUCUUAGAACAUAAGUCCUAUUCUGAUAAACAAAAAUCAGACAAUUAUGGUAUACUGUUUAAAUUAUAUUGUUGAAAUAAAGGCAAAGUAGUUGACCACUGUUCAAUAAUCAUAAGUCGAAUAAGCGGAAUAAAUGCAGGUCAUAAACAAAAAUAAGGGAAACGUAUUUAAUAUAUGAGAAAAACAACAGUACAACAAAAUAACUGAUCUGCUACAAAAAGUUAUCAAAGCUACCAGGAUUAUUAUUUAGACGUGCGUUUCGUCUACAUAAGACUCAUCAGUGACGCUCAUAUCAAAUUAGGUAUAAAGCCAAUUAAGUACAAAGCUUUGAAAACAAAAACAAAAACCAACGCCACAUACAUAGAAACGGACUAUUUUAUAUCAACUUCCAUAUUUCUGACUUGGUACAGGAUAUUUUAAGAAGAAACAAUGGUGGGUUGAUUUACUAGUGGGUUUAGCGAUCAAAUGUUACGUGUAUAAUUCUUUAUUUUAUUUCAGUUAACUUUCGAGUAUUUGCCUUAUACACCGAUCUCAAGGUGUAUUAUGGUCCUUUUAAUAUCUCUAUGCAUG
rnacentral:lncRNA from 1 species